CCUACGGGUGGCUGCAGUGAGGAAUAUUGGUCAAUGGGCGCGAGCCUGAACCAGCCAAGUAGCGUGAAGGAUGACUGCCCUACGGGUUGUAAACUUCUUUUAUAAAGGAAUAAAGUGAGGCACGUGUGCCUUUUUGUAUGUACUUUAUGAAUAAGGAUCGGCUAACUCCGUGCCAGCAGCCGCGGUAAUACGGAGGAUCCGAGCGUUAUCCGGAUUUAUUGGGUUUAAAGGGUGCGUAGAUGGCUUGUUAAGUCAGUUGUGAAAGUUUGCGGCUCAACCGUAAAAUUGCAAUUGAUACUGGGAGUCUUGAGUACAGUUGAGGUAGGCGGAAUGCGUGGUGUAGCGGUGAAAUGCUUAGAUAUCACGAAGAACUCCGAUUGCGAAGGCAGCUUGCUAAGCUACGACUGACGUUGAUGCUCGAAAGUGUGGGUAUCAAACAGGAUUAGAUACCCUUGUAGUC
rnacentral:rRNA from 1 species